rnacentral:rRNA from 1 species
UACGUAGGGUGCAAGCGUUGUCCGGAAUUAUUGGGCGUAAAGAGCUCGUAGGCGGUUGGUCGCGUCGGCUGUGAAAACCCGGAGCUCAACUCCGGGCCGGCAGUCGAUACGGGCCGACUCGAGUGGUGCAGGGGAGACUGGAAUUCCUGGUGUAGCGGUGAAAUGCGCAGAUAUCAGGAGGAACACCGGUGGCGAAGGCGGGUCUCUGGGCACCAACUGACGCUGAGGAGCGAAAGCGUGGGGAGCGAACAGG